rnacentral:rRNA from 1 species
UACGGGGGGGGCAAGCGUUGUUCGGAAUUACUGGGCGUAAAGGGCGCGUAGGCGGUCUUGCAAGUCCUGUGUGAAAUCCCUCGGCUCAACUGAGGAACUGCACAGGAAACUGCUUGGCUUGAGUUCGGGAGAGGGAAGCGGAAUUCCGGGUGUAGCGGUGAAAUGCGUAGAUAUCCGGAGGAACACCAGUGGCGAAGGCGGUCUCCUGGGGCAUUCUUGACGCUGAGGCGCGAAAGCUGGGGGAGCGAACGGG